UACGUAGGUAACAAGCGUUGUCCGGAUUUACUGGGCGUAAAGAGCGCGCAGGCGGUCGAUCAAGUCGAGUGUGAAAGCCCCCGGCUCAACUGGGGAGGGUCAUUCGAUACUGAUCGACUCGAAGGCAGGAGAGGGUAGUGGAAUUCCCGGUGUAGUGGUGAAAUGCGUAGAUAUCGGGAGGAACACCAGUGGCGAAGGCGACUACCUGGCCUGUUCUUGACGCUGAGGCGCGAAAGCUAGGGGAGCAAACGGG
rnacentral:rRNA from 1 species